ACCCCAAGCAAAUUGGAAGGCCCUGAUGCCAAGUAACAAAAGCACCUCAAGAUAAUUACAAUGCGUUCUCCGUUCUUAAAACUGAAUGUGUGACCUCUCAGCAUUUGAGACCAGUGACGACUGUGCAGCAGGUGCCUGACUC